UACGGAGGGGGCAAGCGUUGUUCGGAUUUACUGGGCGUAAAGGGUGUGUAGGCGGUUAUGUAAGUCUGGUGUGAAAUCUUCAUCGCUCAACGGGAAGAGGUCACUGGAAACUGCGUAACUCGAGUGUGGUAGAGGCAAGCGGAAUUCCUGGUGUAGCGGUGGAAUGUGUAGAUAUCAGGAAGAACAUCGGUGGCGAAGGCGGCUUGCUGGGCCAUUACUGACGCUGAGACACGAAAGCGUGGGGAGCAAACGGG
rnacentral:rRNA from 1 species